AGCAGCCGCGGUAAUUCCAGCUCCAAUAGCGUAUAUUAAAGUUGUUGCAGUUAAAAGCUCGUAGUUGAAUUUCGGGAUUGGCGCAUCGGUCGUGCCUCACGGGGUAUGAACUGGUGCAGUCAAUUUCUCACCUUCUGGAGAACCGCGAUGUCCUUAAUUGGAUGCCGCGGGGAACCAGGACCUUUUACUUUAGAAAAAUUAGAGUGUUUAAAGCAGGCAUUUUUGCUUGAAUACAUUAGCAUGGAAUAAUAAAAUAGGACGGCAUGGUUCUAUUUUGUUGGUUUCUAGGACCACCGUAAUGAUUAAUAGGGAUAGUUGGGGGCAUUAGUAUUCAAUUGUCAGAGGUGAAAUUCUUGGAUUUAUUGAAGACUAACUACUGCGAAAGCAUUUGCCAAGGAUGUUUUCAUUAAUCAAGAACGAAAGUUAGGGAUCGAAGACGAUCAGAUACCGUCGUAGUCUUAACCUAUAAACUAUGCCGACUAGGAAUCAGACGAUGUUUAAUUUUUUAAUGUACUCGUUU
rnacentral:misc_RNA from 1 species